GGCAGAUAUUUGCAGCAUGUUCGAGUGAGCAUGAUGACCACGAGUGUGUGUCGAACUUUUCAUGACCUGAUGACUGUGUUUCCCAAUCCUGAUCCUGGAGAACCCCAGCACUGCACGGUUUUGGCGUCUCUCUUAUCUGCCUUGGAGUCUUCACUGAUGAGCUGAUGAGUUGAAUCAGGAUUGUUUGAGGAUAACGCUGCAGUUCUCCAUCAUGCACAAGGACUCACCUCGUUAACUCUUUAUCCCCCACACACACAGAUAUGGUCCCUGGAUCAGUGAUUAGACUUUGCAGUGGUUUGAUUUUUGCAGAAGAUGUAACUUUGUUUUAUUUAUAAGCUCAUAAUGAAUACAUUACAGAACCAGUGAUGAAAACAAUAGUUAAAAAUAGUAUGUUUCGUAUUGAUAAAGCAUUUUGUUCUCUUUUUCAAGCUUCAUACAGUGAACUUUUUAGACUUUAAUUAAGAGUUUUAGUAAAGGAGAUAUUCAUACACAGUCAUCCCCUAGCUCCAGUCAUGAAGUGAAUUCAUGAUGUUAUGUCAAAGCUAGCAGGUGUUUGUUUUCCUGAACACUUUCUCUGUCUUCCAUUGUUCAGACAAUCAGUGUUUAUUUGAUGCUGUGCUGAUUGAGUUUUAUAGAUGAUAUUGCACACUUGACAUGCAUGUCUUCAUGGUGUUUUUUUUUGUGAGUUUGAAACAUUUACAUUGUGUUGUAUAACAUUUUGGUCAAUUUAAUUUUUUUAAUAAAAUUGAUCUUUUUCCAGUGUUCUCUGAAAGACAUACUGUAUUUACUGUUUUGUUUUUUAAUAAAAGCAUUUUCAUUUGCAUACUGAAAAUAGUUAAUGUUUACAACAUAACUGCCUUUUUAUUUUUUAUGGUGGCAAAAACGAGCUUGGUGACAGAGGAUGCAGUGUAGUAAUUUGGGCAUGUUGUCUUUAAAUGAGUUUGACAUAUCAAUAAAUAAUGGAAGAUCCUUACAAAAAUAUGCAUGUUUAUUAUGCUUUAUGUAUUUAUUUGUUCAUUCAUUCAUUCAUUCAUUUAUAAUUUCUGUUUUUAUUCCUAGGGUUCAAAUGGUAGAGAAUGGUAAAUCACAGAAACACAAAUGUGAACAAUUUUAA